UACGAAGGGGGCUAGCGUUGCUCGGAAUGACUGGGCGUAAAGGGCGCGUAGGCGGGCUGUCAAGUCUGGGGUGAAAUGCCGCGGCUCAACCGUGGAACUGCCUCAGAUACUGACGGCCUCGAGGAAGGUAGGGGCAUGCGGAACUGUAGGUGGAGCGGUGAAAUGCGUUGAUAUCUACAGGAACUCCGGUGGCGAAAGCGGCGUGCUGGACCUUUUCUGACGCUGAGGCGCGAAAGCUAGGGGAGCAAACGGG
rnacentral:rRNA from 1 species